CCUCACCUCACUGGAGAGAGGCCGCCAGCUCACACAGGCGGCCCACCGAAGGGGCAAGGCCCAGGGGUCGUGAGUUCAACAUCUGAACCUGCGAUGCCCUGGCGCUGAAUCUCUCAGGUAAAGCGGACAGCGAGGGCCCG
rnacentral:ncRNA from 2 species